rnacentral:misc_RNA from 1 species
UAUAUCUUCUCCAUAUCAGAGUUGUAGUCUUCAAUAUCUGAUAUGUUUGCCGAGUACAGAGACCAUGAGAAAGACUUACUUCCACUGGCCCUUUUUAUGCGUCUCUGGGAAUCUUUAAAAACUCCAAAAUGUUGGCGGAAAACAAAGUAGCCCAUACUUGCAAGUGUCCCAACAAGAAUUGGUGCCCCCAUUAAGGUUAUUGUUAUAGCCAUCCACGAACUGCCUUUUCCCACUAUCACAAAAGCUACAGAAAGAAAAGACCCACACGUGCAAGCACAGGCAGCCCACAUCAGUUUGUUAACAACUGAUACAACCUGUUUCUGAGCUGUAGUGUCCCACGCCACCAAUGUGAUCUGGACCACGACAACGGCUAGAGAUAUGAAUAGAGA